AUCAAAAUGACUCUCGGCAACGGAUAUCUCGGCUCUUGCAUCGAUGAAGAACGUAGCGAAAUGCGAUACUUGGUGUGAAUUGCAGAAUCCCGUGAACCAUCGAGUCUUUGAACGCAAGUUGCGCCCGAAGCCAUUAGGCUGAGGGCACGCCUGCCUGGGUGUCACA
rnacentral:rRNA from 1 species